rfam:Myotis brandtii contig160133, whole genome shotgun sequence.
AGGGGUUCUCGGGUGACACACCCCAGAAUCGUGCUCCCUCCUCUCUAGUUCCGAGUGCAUCAACUGAGAACCGCA